rnacentral:rRNA from 1 species
GAUGAACGCUAGCGGCAGGCUUAACACAUGCAAGUCGAGGGGUAUAGUUCUUCGGAAUUAGAGACCGGCGCACGGGUGCGUAACGCGUAUGCAAUCUACCUUUCACAAAGGGAUAGCCCAGAGAAAUUUGGAUUAAUACCUUAUAGUAAUACGACUUGGCAUCAAGAUGUAUUUAAAGAUUUAUCGGUGAAAGAUGAGCAUGCAUCCCAUUAGCUUGUUGGUAAGGUAACGGCUUACCAAGGCAACGAUGGGUAGGGGUCCUGAGAGGGAGAUCCCCCACACUGGUACUGAGACACGGACCAGACUCCUACGGGAGGCAGCAGUGAGGAAUAUUGGACAAUGGGCGCAAGCCUGAUCCAGCCAUGCCGCGUGCAGGAAGAAGGUCCUAUGGAUUGUAAACUGCUUUUAUACAGGAAGAACACUCCUCGUGAGGGAACUUGACGGUACUGUAUGAAUAAGGACCGGCUAACUCCGUGCCAGCAG